rnacentral:tRNA from 1 species
UGGGGCGUCGUCAAGCGGUAAGACACUAGCCUUUGACGCUAGCACUCGUAGGUUCGAAUCCUGCCGCCCCAG